rnacentral:rRNA from 1 species
GAUGAACGCUGACAGAAUGCUUAACACAUGCAAGUCAACUUGAAUUUGGGUUUUUACCUUAGGUUUGGGUGGCGGACGGGUGAGUAACGCGUAAAGAACUUGCCUCACAGCUAAGGACAACAUUUGGAAACGAAUGCUAAUACCUAAUAUUAUGAUAAUAGGGCAUCCUAUAAUUAUGAAAGCUAUAAGCGCUGUGAGAGAGCUUUGCGUCCCAUUAGCUAGUUGGAGAGGUAACGGCUCACCAAGGCGAUGAUGGGUAGCCGGCCUGAGAGGGUGAUCGGCCACAAGGGGACUGAGACACGGCCCUUACUCCUACGGGAGGCAGCAGUGGGGAAUAUUGGACAAUGGACCGAGAGUCUGAUCCAGCAAUUCUGUGUGCACGAUGAAGUUUUUCGGAAUGUAAAGUGCUUUCAGUUGGGAAGAAACAAAUGACGGUACCAACAGAAGAAGUGACGGCUAAAUACGUG